rnacentral:lncRNA from 1 species
CAAAAUAUCUUCUUUGUUCUUGUUUGUAAAUAUGUGUCUUCUGAAUAUAAGAGACACUUGCAUGAAACAAUAGGGAAUAGCCGCAAGUCGCAUAGAUAAGUUACAUUUGUUUAACAUAGCAAAAUGUAUUCCAUAUUUAUACAUGACCGGAGGGAAGUUUGUAAAGGAAACAAGUUCCUAAGGUGAAGCUAUAAACAUAGGGCUUCACAUCUUAUUUAAGUGAUUCAGUAGACUAUAAACAUAAUAACUAGAUUGGCUACUACCAGAGCCAGAAAGAAGCAAGCUCUCAUGGUGAAGCUAUACGAUAUAGAGCUUCACAUGCCAAUCAGAUAGCUCAGUAUGCUCGCGGAGAUCGCACAUAGUGAGCGUAGUCAUUGUCCAUGUCUUGAUGAUAAUCUUCAUUAGAACCUCCACCAGAAAGUCCACCAUAUUCUGAAUCAGACAUGCAUCCUAUAGGUAGAUGCCUUUCUUUUGCACUAAGAGACACACCAUGGCAGUAACAUUCUGAAAUACAGCUACAGUGUCAUGAAUCUUUAGGAGAUUUUCUAGUUAAGAUUCCAUAUUCAGCCUAAGGAAACUAUUUGUAGUAACAAAGAUGAGUCUUGUAGCUACAUAUUGAUUUUUAACAGUUUUUUGUAUCAAGAAAAUAACGAAGUUGAUGUUUAGGUUUGUUAUUUUUUUAAAUGAUGCUAUGUUUGUGUUAACGUCAGAUAUAUAUCGAGCUGAAUUGUUACUUUUUGAAGAUGUGAUAUUGUAUUUUUUUGAAUUGAAUAGUGUUUGGACGCACAAGCAUCUAAAUAGGAAAUUGAAUCACAACUAAAGUAUAAAGAAGCAGACAGAGAAAUAUAUUUUAUUUCCUCUGUAGCUAGCACCUGAAUAAUAUCUCAAGUUUCAACCUCAUCACAUGAAACCUAACCAAGCUCAGGAAAGUAACAAUGAAUACAUAAUUCACUAUCUGUCUUCUUUCCAAUAAGAAAUUGGCCGAAGCCAUCUAAAUUGCAAACAAACAUUGUGAAGACAACCACAAUCAAAAUAGGUGUUUUGUCCAAUGGAACCACAAUCAAAAAGCAUGAAGGCCUAUGAAAGAUAGUGGGAAUUGCAGACUAACCACCCUUGUUAUGAGCACGGAGCCUAUUCAACAAGAACCUGUGCCUUUUAUGGUUUUUGGCAGUUUCAGCAGAACUAAGCAAUGGAAAGAACCCAUCUCCUAUUGGACACAGAAAACAAAACACACGCUAAGGGAACAAGGGCCUGUCUAGCAAGGCAUGUGGAAAGAAACGAACAGCAUCAACAGAGUUAAGGAACACACGCUUCCUCUUUCGAACAACGGGAGCAAGAGGCCUCGGACGUAUAAAAGGCAAAACAGGAACAACACGAGCAGCAUGGCGCGGAGGAACAAAAUGACAUGCAACAGGAGUAUGUUCCGAAGGAACUGCUCGUCGUGUAGGAACAGAACGUCAUGGAGGCAUGCCGUCAGCAGAGUUAAAAGGAUGGAAACAUAUACACCAUGAUGUGAGUAAACAAACAACAAUGAGUUCUGAAAGCGUUAUAAUGAAGGUCAAGAAAGAAUAGGUAAAGCGUCAUAGAAAGAAACAUCAUACAGAACACCUAAGAUAGACAAUCUUUGGUAAAUCUAUGAGCGCUGGCUCAAUCAACCACGACACCUAUGAUCAUCAUAGGUAAGCGAGAACUAAAAACAUAAAACCAAAUAGGCUAAAGACACAGAGAUUAUUCGAACUACCAUCAUGAAGCAAGUAAAUAAACCUGGGUAGUACGUGACCACUAAACAUGGAUAAGGCAACAAGAGCACCUCUCACAAGUAAACAGAAGACACCAAUGCUAAAAGGCUCGGGUACAACAGUGCUAGGUCAGGAGGUGGGUGUGGCUCGUAGAGGCCCAAUUUUUUUAUCUGCGGCAUUAGCAAGACAUCGCCCCCAGGAAUUUCAAUUUCUACCCCAGCAAGGACAUGCCCAUCUCCAUCUACCUCACAGGAGCUAGGAGGGGGCAAAUCACGGUGCGUUGCCAUUGUUUUUAGAACCGCUCUCACAAAGGUCUGGAUAGAUACAAACUGAAAUCCAAAGUCAAUUUUAGGACAAAGUUAUAUUGGGGUCAAACAUGUAAAGAAGAGAAUUCUGCUAGGCAAAGUUCACUUGAGUCUUUUCUGAAUUUCCCUCCUCUCCUACAAUGUGAAUUCCCCUCCUCUGCUACCCCACUUCAAAAUAAUACGAUAACAUGCAUACAUACAUAGUUCGAUGGGUAAACAUGACUUGUAAAUGAAAUAAAUAAUAAGCAUACAUCACAUAACUUGGUAUGCGAAAAAGAUUAAAAAAGAGCGUACCAGAGCAGGUCUAGCGAGGGUGUGUCAAUGCUUCCAACUUACUGAAUUUGGAGUGUGUGGCUCCAUAUUGCAAGGACGAACCUAGGGCAAACCAAAGCAACAAAAAAUGUUUAUACUAUGAUACUUAGCAGUGGAUAGCAGGUAAAGUAGCAGCAUUCAGCAAUAAAAUUUGUUUAUACAACAAUAAUUAGCAUUGUAUAGCAGGUACAGGUAGCAGCAUCUACAAAAAAACAGUAUGUGAAGAGCAUGCUAAGAACAGAGUGGUAAAAGUUCUUUUACCAUCAUAUUGUAUUUGGGUGUUUUGAGUGAUCAAAGCCAUGUAGUGCUUCGUCAACCGAGUCUAUGCUGCAACCACAAAACAAAAUUUGCUCCAUCGUAUCUACAUCUGAGAUCCUCCUCUUUAGAUGGUGCAAGCCUGCAGCUGUUUAGCAAACCUGGAGGUGGUCCAUUACAUGUCCCAUGGUGUGAUAAUUAGGACUCACAUAAUUAUAUAGCUAAGCCAAGACAACAAAUCAAAGGAGAAAGACAGGGAAAGAUACACAGUGGGAACCAAAUCAAAGCCCGGGAGGGAAGAUAUCAACAAGGAAACAUCCCAAAACAUACCCUAGAAAACCUGAAGAAAAUGGGAAAAAGAAGAUUGGUUAGGAAGAUGAGGAAAGAAACAAUAAAAACAGAAGGAAGCUCACAUGUACUCCUACUAGAGUCUCCUCCGCAAACUGGGGUCUCGACCAGCAGGGGUUCCUGCAGAUGCUAACCUCAUCGCAUAACUUCGUCACCCACCCAGUGGCCUAGUUAGCAGACACACCCAUGUACGCCGCCUCCGCGACCAUGCCUAAGUGCUUUAGCCGCCGGACCCAUGAACCUGAAGUGUGUGAGGCUGCAGCUUAACUGAAGAUCGGAGGAGCAACGUCACGAAGUAAGAGAAGAGGGAAGAACUUUUCAAAGCUCCAAUAACGACCACGAUGGUGGCACGCGAACGACGAG